rnacentral:lncRNA from 1 species
UUUUCAGCUGGGACGCAUUCACCUUGCUCUGGGAGGCUCCUCUCCCUCUCCAAGUGCUUCUUUCCUAGAGCCUCCGGGGAGGAGGCGGCUUUCCCUUUCCACAUCCAAGGCAAGCUGCAUACAACGCAGAGGUGUCCAGUUCUCUGUUAGACUGGGAGUUAGGGGAUUACCAGCAUCCUCUCCUCCUCACUUGCUCACGUCUUCGGUGGAUUCUGGCUGCUUCAUUUCCCAAACAGAUGGCAAAGUGGCCCUCCUUCUGUCUCCACUGUCCUCCUUUCACUGUCCAGACACAGUCCUCAGUGACCCGCCCCCCCCCCCCCCCCCGGUGGGCUUAACUCUCCUGGCAAAGUCCAGUCUCUUGAUCAGGAACUUUGAGGAUCCAGGUCCCACAGAGGUCUUCACUGUCUCCUACCCCACAUGAUCACCUAUCUCCAUAGCCCUGCCAGGCUCUUAGCGGCCACUCUGGCUGCUUCCAAGGCUGUAGCCUGCUUCUCCCAUGCUGACUUCUCUUCCUGGGCUCAACAGCAAAGGUUCCCUCAGCAGAGAAAACCCUAGGCUUUGAGCCAUGGUGUGUCCCAGUUUCCUCUGUGUUUAAUAUUUGUGCUUCCUGCUGUUGUGGCUGCUGCAUGUGGGCAGGAACUGCUUCUGUUUUGUUUAUUGCUCUGUGUACUUCCCACCCAGCCUAGGAUCAAUAAAUAGGUGUUGAGCCAGGUAUGGUGGCUCAUGCCUAUAAUCCUACCACUAGCGACUCGAGAACUUGAGAGGCCAGCCUGGGCUAUAUAGCAAGACCCUGUCUCAAAAAAAUAGAAAAAGGAGGGCCUAGAGAGAUGGCUCAGUGGUUAAGAGCACUGGCUGCUCU